rnacentral:rRNA from 1 species
GACGAACGCUGGCGGCGUGCUUAACACAUGCAAGUCGAACGGAAAGGCCCCUUUGGGGGUCCUCGAGUGGCGCACGGGUGAGUAACACGUGAGUAACCUGCCCUUGACUUCGGGAUAACUUCAGGAAACUGGGGCGAAUACCGGAUAGGAAUCCUUGCUGCAUGGUGGGGGUUGGAAAGCUUCGGCGGUUUUGGAUGGACUCGCGGCGUAUCAGCUUGUUGGUGGGGUAGUGGCUUACCAAGGCUUUGACGGGUAGCCGGCCUGAGAGGGCGACCGGCCACAUUGGGACUGAGAUACGGCCCAGACUCCUACGGGAGGCAGCAGUGGGGAAUAUUGCACCAUGGGCGGGAGCCUGAUGCAGCAACGCCGCGUGCGGGAUGACGGCCUUCGGGUUGGAAACCGCUUUCAGCAGGGGCGAAGCUUGUGGUGACGGUACCUGCAGAAGAAGCACCGGCUAACUACGUG